rnacentral:rRNA from 1 species
GCUUACGGCCAUACCACCCUGAAAACGCCUGAUCAUGUCUGAUCUCGGAAACUAAGCAGAGUCGGGCCUGGUUAGUACUUGGAUGGGAGACCGCCUGGGAAUACCAGGUGCUGUAAGCU